rnacentral:rRNA from 1 species
AUACGUAGGGAGCGAGCGUUGUCCGGAAUUACUGGGUGUAAAGGGAGCGUAGGCGGGAGUGCAAGUCAGAUGUGAAAUACAUGGGCUCAACCCAUGGGCUGCAUUUGAAACUGCAUUUCUUGAGUGAAGUAGAGGUAAGCGGAAUUCCUGGGGGAGCGGUGAAAUGCGUAGAUAUCAGGAGGAACACCGGUGGCGAAGGCGGCUUACUGGGCUUUUACUGACGCUGAGGCUCGAAAGCGUGGGGAGCAAACAGGAUUAGAUACCCUGGUAGUCCACGCUGUAAACGAUGAUUACUAGGUGUGGGGGGACUGACCCCUUCCGUGCCGCAGUUAACACAAUAAGUAAUCCACCUGGGGAGUACGGCCGCAAGGUUGAAACUCAAAUGAAUUGACGGGG